rnacentral:rRNA from 1 species
ACUCCUACGGGAGGCAGCAGUGGGGAAUAUUGCACAAUGGGCGCAAGCCUGAUGCAGCAACGCCGCGUGAGCGAAGAAGGUCUUCGGAUCGUAAAGCUCUUUUCUUAGGGAAGAAAACUGACGGUACCUAAGGAAUAAGCACCGGCUAAAUACGUGCCAGCAGCCGCGGUAAUACGUAUGGUGCAAGCGUUAUCCGGAAUCACUGGGGCGUAAAGGGGUGCGUAGGCGGUUUUGCAAGUCAGAAGUGAAAGGCUACGGCUCAACCGUAGUAAGCUUUUGAAACUGCAAGACUAGAGUGCAGGAGAGGAAAGUGGAAUUCCUAGUGUAGAGGUGAAAUUCGUAGAUAUUAGGAGGAACACCAGUGGCGAAGGCGACUUUCUGGACUGUAACUGACGCUGAUGCACGAAAGCGUGGGGAGCGAACAGGAUUAGAUACCCUGGUAGCACA